UACGAAGGGUGCAAGCGUUACUCGGAAUUACUGGGCGUAAAGCGUGCGUAGGUGGUUCGUUAAGUCUGAUGUGAAAGCCCUGGGCUCAACCUGGGAACUGCAUUUGUGACUGCAAGGCUGGAGUGCGGCAGAGGGGGAUGGAAUUCCGCGUGUAGCAGUGAAAUGCGUAGAUAUGCGGAGGAACACCGAUGGCGAAGGCAAUCCCCUGGGCCUGCACUGACGCUCAUGCACGAAAGCGUGGGGAGCAAACAGG
rnacentral:rRNA from 1 species